rnacentral:rRNA from 1 species
AGUGAACGCUGGCGGUAGGCCUAACACAUGCAAGUCGAACGACAGCACAGUAAGAGCUUGCUCUUACGGGUGGCGAGUGGCGGACGGGUGAGGAAUACAUCGGAAUCUACUUUUUCGGGGGGGAUAACGGAGGGAAACUUACGCUAAUACCGCAUACGACCUACGGGUGAAAGCAGGGGAUCUUCGGACCUUUCGCGAUUGAAUGAGACGAUGUCGGAUUAGCUAGUUGGCGGGGUAAAGGCCCACCAAGGCGACGAUCCGUAGCUGGUCUGAGAGGAUGAUCAGCCACACUGGAACUGAGACACGGUCCAGACUCCUACGGGAGGCAGCAGUGGGGAAUAUUGGACAAUGGGCGCAAGCCUGAUCCAGCCAUACCGCGUGGGUGAAGAAGGCCUUCGGGUUGUAAAGCCCUUUUGUUGGGAAAGAAAAGCAGCAGGUUAAUAUCCCGCUGUUCUGACGGUACCCAAAGAAUAAGCACCGGCUAACUUCGUG